rnacentral:rRNA from 1 species
UUGAACGCUGGCGGCAUGCUUUACACAUGCAAGUCGAACGGCAGCGCGGGCUUCGGCCUGGCGGCGAGUGGCGAACGGGUGAGUAAUACAUCGGAACGUGCCCAGUAGUGGGGGAUAGCUCGGCGAAAGCCGGAUUAAUACCGCAUACGACCUGAGGGUGAAAGCGGGGGAUCUUCGGACCUCGCGCUAUUGGAGCGGCCGAUGGCAGAUUAGCUAGUUGGUGGGGUAAAGGCCUACCAAGGCGACGAUCUGUAGCUGGUCUGAGAGGACGACCAGCCACACUGGGACUGAGACACGGCCCAGACUCCUACGGGAGGCAGCAGUGGGGAAUUUUGGACAAAGGGCGAAAGCCUGAUCCAGCAAUGCCGCGUGUGUGAUGAAGGCCUUCGGGUUGUAAAGCACUUUUGGCGGGAACGAAAAGGACUGUGCCAAUACCACGGUUCGAUGACGGUACCCGCAGAAUAAGCACCGGCUAACUACGUG